rnacentral:lncRNA from 1 species
CAGAGGCAUUAUUACCAGUUGCUGUGUGCACCUGCGCAUCCUGCCGUGACAGACUGCACUGUAUCUCGGAACCUCUAACUAAGACAAGCCCCUCCUUCCGUGGCCUCUGUCAGGUCACAUGCAGACUCCCAUAAGGAGCCCUUCCCGUUUCCCAGAACACUGAACACGGCAAAAGCGCGAGAAAAAUAGCACCACAUGUUCACCUCUAGGGUCUCAGAUUACCCAGAGAAAGAUUGUUUUAUCCAAGCACAGAGAGAAACACUGCGGCUAAAGUGAACUGAGCGUUUAGGCACUGGGUAGCUGCCGCCGCCAAGGCAAAGUCUGUGCAGAGCAGCAGGAGGCUGGGUCAGCCACCUUCACCCGACAGAGUGCGGUUUGUGCUACUGGCUGGCACCCCACCUGCUACAUGGACACUGCUGAGACCCAGGGUUACUGAAGCCCGGCCCUUCUUCUCCAGGGUAUUUUUCCUUAACUUCCAUCCCCUGGAUUGCCGAUGAGUUGUCUGACUCCCAACAUUGUGUUGAGAUGUGGUCGUCUACCUGCUGGGCUGAAUGUAGCUCAUCCCUGUUUGGAAAUCUGCACGGAUACCUCUGACCAAUGCACUCCUGUCUCCUGGAUAAAGAAGUCACCCUCCAGGAGCUGCAGGCUCCUCCUUCCCACAUCUGAUCCUCACAAUUUAGUAACUCCUCCCUAA